rnacentral:rRNA from 1 species
UACGUAGGGAGCAAGCGUUGUCCGGAAUUACUGGGUGUAAAGGGAGCGUAGGCGGGGAUGCAAGUCAGAUGUGAAAACUAUGGGCUCAACCCAUAGCCUGCAUUUGAAACUGUAUUUCUUGAGUGCUGGAGAGGCAAUCGGAAUUCCGUGUGUAGCGGUGAAAUGCGUAGAUAUACGGAGGAACACCAGUGGCGAAGGCGGAUUGCUGGACAGUAACUGACGCUGAGGCGCGAAAGCGUGGGGAGCAAAAAGG